rnacentral:lncRNA from 11 species
GGCUUAAAAAGUUUGAGGACCCCUGGUCUAGUAAGUAGGGCAAGGAGCAACCUGAGUCGCUUCUGAAGUGAGAGAAUUGGCCGUCUGCAAGGACGUUGCCCAGGGGACGCCCGGAUGUUUUGAUGUUUUUUACCAUCUUUGUGGGAGGCUUUUCUCAUGUCCCCGCAUGGAGCUGGAGCUGAUACAGGGAGCUCAUCCGCGCUCUCCCCAGGUGGGAUUCGAAUGUGGCAGCUUUCAGGGAAACACGGUAGCAACUUCCAGAAAUGUUGGACAACAGAUACCAGCAACUCAAGACAAUAUAUGAAUGUUACAAGAUUUAGUCGAAGUCACCUGCCAGACUGUAGGAGGCAAAUUGAAGAAGAACCACUGUUUAAGCAUUCAUCAGGCUCCUUUGGCAGACAGCACUGA